rnacentral:sRNA from 1 species
UUCAAAGACAAAGACUCAUAUGGACUUCGGCAACACCAUCAAAGCUUUGAGAAGUAAGAAGAAGCGUGGUUAGUGUUUUGGAGUGAAAUAUGACUUGAUGUCAUGUGUAUGACUGAGUAUAACAACUAGAAUCACAACCAUAUCUUAAAAGCCUAAGUAUUGUAUCCUUGUUCGAAGAUACAAAGACAAACACUCAUAGGGACUUCGGCUACACCAUCAAAGCUUUGAGAAGCAAGAAGAAGGUUGGUUAGUGUUUUGGAGUCAAAUAUGACUUGAUGUUAU